UUGGAGAGGCUUCAGGGACUCACAGAAAGCAUGAGAUGUCAGAUAAGGGCUCCAGCCAGAUCAGUAAGCUGUGAGGAGGGGCUGUGGGGAGCAGAGACAGAAAGCUAAGAACAGGGAAAGAUCACAGAGAAAGCAGAGCAGAGAUGGGAAGUAGGGGAACAGAAAGAGAGACAGGAAAGAUCAAGGGGAGAAGGCAGUAAGUGACUGGGAUCAGGGAGAGGGCAAGGGCAGAGAGAGAGAGACAGGAGGAAGAUCAGAGGAGCAGAGAACAGGAACUGGAGUAGGGCUGGGAGAUCAUUAAGACAAAACACAACUCGGGUUCUAAAUUAACAGUGAGUUUAUUGGACAGGAACAGAUGGUGACAGAAUAUCUUAUUGGUUCCUUUGCAUCCACACUGAAGGGGAACAGAACGGAGUCAAUUGCCAUUAUGUGUAUCAGUGCUCCCUAGCCUGGACGAGUUACGUCUCUUGGUGGUCAGUGCAGCCUUACCUGUGCCUACUGAUGUUCCUUGCCAUUCUCUAAGCCCUGAAGACUGGAUCCUUGUAAAAGAAUUUCACCCGAAGAACUGUCUGCAGCCUAGAUGGAAUGGGCCUUAUCAAGUCUUACUAACCACCAAUACGGCUGGAAAGGUUGAUGGAAAGUCUGCCUGGAUACAUGCAUCUCAUUGCAGAAGAACCUUAACGCCAAAAGAAGUAGAACAAAUCAACCUGGAACUGACCCAGAUGGAUUUAAAUCCCACUCCAACAGGAACUGGAUUUGAUGAGGAAGAAGGUCUCCUCGAUGUAAGCACUGAAGCAGCAAACUGGGUUGAUCCCCCUCAUACCUACAACCUGCGUCCGAAGAAAAAUAAACCAAAUACAACGAUUUCAGUAAAAGAAAUCUUCUGUACGGUGAGGCAAGUUACAACAUAAUCCAGAAGAAUUGCCUGCAGAGGCAAGCCAAACAAUGCCUGCCAACAGAAUUCAACAUAAUGAAGCUGUUGAUGUUAAUAUUAGUGGUACUAGCUAUGGCAAAUGCAAAUGUGUAUUUACAGUUCCUGAAAAGGGUUACUUUGGCCUUAAAUGUUUCUGAUUGUUGGGUCUGUGGACUUAUCCCCAGAACUAAUGACGAAGGAUUUCUAAUGAUACUGUGACCUUUAACCCUUCUAAAUUUAACUGUGCGGUGGGCAGACCCAAACAAUGCCACCUGGAAUGAUGCCAAGUACCUUAAGGUGACACCUCAACAGGGAGAAAUGUGUUGGGUACGCAAGUACUCCCAACAGCAAAAUUAUUCAGUGGGGCAUAGUAACUGCAACCAUUAUGAUAUGGGUAAUGGAGUUUGGAUGAAUAAUCACACCAAAGACAGAACAUGCUGCAAAAUUUUCAAAAGUUGGUAUAACCCAUAUCAUCAAUCAACCACUGGCGGCUCAAUAACUUGUAAAUCAAUACAACUACCAAAUAUUACUGUGUGGGAUUGCUCUCUAAUAGGAGGACAUUGUCAUAAAAAUGGCACACCCAUACCAACAACAAAUGUUUGGGGUAGACCUAGUUCUGUGGCGGGGCUGGGGUCAUCACAUGUCUAACUUUCUUUACAAUGACCAGUAUAAUGAAAAUAAAAAAAACCCUCAUCCAGCUGGAUGGCCUUAAAGGGAACCUAUUGGGUAUGUGGUACAAAAGCUUACCACCAGCUACCACCUGGCUGGUUUGGGUCUUGCUAUUUAGCUUGGUUAACUCCAGCAGUAAGAAUAACCAAGUCCUUACCUGAAGGUUGCCUCAGAAAUCAGAGGGAAAGCCCUAACCAGUCAAGUCAAGAACAAGCUGCUCGAGCUACUUUAGAGACGUAUAAGAAUCCCUUAACAGUAGGAAAGCUGAUCGGACGUUCAGUAGUGGGGAUAAUUCCACUUAUAACCGGCCUUGCCGUUUCCUGUGUGGGAAGAUAUACCCUGCGACUACAACCGGUGGUUAAAGUAUUAGCCCUAGAAACCAAAACUGCCAUAACCAGUUUAGGAAAUGCCAUAAAAACUGUAGCACAAAACCAAGACAAUCUACAACAGAUGGUUAUACAAAACCGAUUGGCUAUUGAUUACAUAUUAGCAUCUGAAGGGGGUGCCUGUGCUGUAAUAGGGCAGGAAUGUUGUACGUAUGUAAAUAGUACUUUUAAGUUAGUAGAAGAGCAAGUGAAUGAUGCCUUAGCUCACGCUGCCAAGGCUGCUGAAGUAGCCUUUGUUUCUAAAGAUUCUUCGGCAGAUUGGUUUGCUUGGUUAGAUCCUAGAGGAUUGUUUAAAGGGCUACUGGGGAAGAUAAUGUUUGCAUUGUGCAUGAUUUUAAUUUUAGGCUUAAGUUUAUAUGUAAUAGCACAACUAAUUUUAUGUUGCAUAAACUUGUGUGUAAAGAAGGCUGAACAAACUAUCUGAAAAAUAUCAAAAGAAACAGUAAAACAAAUAAUGGUAGAAUUUAAGGAAAAUGAGAUAGAACAGGAGAAACUAUGGACAGACCUGUGCCAGAUAGAAAUAGAGUGAUCCUUCUUUUGAAGGAUCAAAGAGGGGAAUGAAGGGGAACAGAAUGGAGUCAAUCGCCAUUAUGUGUAAGCGAGCAGGCCACGUAUACAGCUUAAGCUAUGAGGAAGUCAAAGGGCAUGACCCAAAACUGCUAGGCUAAGCACAAACUGGAACAAUUCUAGUUUAGUAAAAACAGGAUACUAGUAUAGAAAGAGUGUGGCUAUUAAUGGAUUGAUGUAUCUGUUACUAUGCAUAUGAUGUCAUACUUCCUAUAUCAUACUUGCUAUAUAAUUAAACUGCACAUGAAGUAGAACAACAGACAAUUUCCUCUUGGGGCAGCUGUCUGUUCAG